UCCCUGGUGGCUCAGAUGGUAAAGAAUCUGCCUGCAAUGCAGGCGACCCGGGUUCGAUCCCUGGGUUGGGAA
rnacentral:tRNA from 1 species